rfam:Acidaminococcus intestini RyC-MR95, complete genome.
AAUUUAAUAAAACCGAAUCGUAGGGAUACGAACGGAGGACCCAAUGUUGGGGUGAAUUUCCUUUCUUUUAGGAAUAGGGUGUCUCGACCCGAACCCGGCAGCUAACUUCGUAGGUGAAUCGAGAGGGUGU